GGGGAUAUAGUUUAACUGGUAAAACUGUAAUUUUGCAUAUUAUUAAUUCGGGAUCGAGUCCUGAUAUCUCCA
rnacentral:tRNA from 1 species